UGUAAACCAUCGGAAAUGACCAUUAUUUGCUAUCCACAUCCAGAGAAAGAACUGUGGGAAUGGAAAUGCAUUAGAAAAAAUACAUGAUCAACCACAUAGGGAGAUAGGGACGUGAUUAAGGGUUUUGAUGUUAAAGAAUCGCUCUACUGCAAAUAUGUAUAACAUGGAAAUAGGCUUUGAACAAUGAUACGUGAUAACUCAGUGGAUCUGCUUGUCAGAUUUGUGAGGGGGGAAAUCAUGAAUCAUGUAACCAUUGGAAAAUAUUCUAAAUUUAAAAAGAAAUGGCCAUUAUAGUGACUAUUUUAAAUAGCACAAUGUGUAGUUUGUUCCCUGGACUUAGUUCUGCCCUGCCCCCAAAGGGGAUGGAUGCACUUUUCCAUACGAUGAGGUUGAUGGAGCCCCUGGUGCCUGGGCAUUUGUCACCAGCAGCAUUCAUGGUUUCUGGGGUUUGAAGUUCCUGUCUGUAAUGUGGUCUCAGUCAGAUUACAAACACCCCGCCUUCUGUCUUCCUCUUCCCAGCGGCAAGCACAGACAGGGUCUUCUCAAAAGAAUCAUCUGAAAUAAGCAGCUACUAGUCAUGUCUGUCAAGAAUAAUGUAGUGGCCCACAGAGAGGAUUACUGAAGUUGGAACUGGUGGGGAAGGGCCUGCCUGACCAUGGCCUGGGUGCUGGAAUUGAUCCUUCUGUUGACUCCCUGUGGAUACCUAGCAAUAGCAUCCGUGAAUAACUUGACAGUCAAUCAAAGCCCUCCUAAGCUGUGUGGAGUGGAAGGAGGGUUUGUUGAAAUAACCUGUUCCUGGAUUGUGAGUCCUAAUGUGACACAGCUUCGAGUAGAAUGGAUAAAAGUCAAUGGUACCUAUCAGAUACCAACUGUCAUUAAUAGUACGGUAUAUAAAACGGAGACCAACCUCACCCCAGAAAUCAGGAAGGAAAAUCUGAAACUGGAAAAAUUGAAUACAAAUUAUUCUGGACAUUAUUUCUGUGAAAUAACCAUUGAAAAACCUACAUGGGUGCAAGGAAAAGGAAAUGGAACAUUUCUUACUGUGAAAGGAAAGAAUAAAGAAUCAGAAAAAUCAAAAGAAUCAAAAGAACAAUGGCCCUGGUGGGCUUUGGCCAUCUUUCUUCUCCUAACAGCAAGUGUCUACUUGAGCUAUACUUGCAAGAAACGAAAGAACUCAAGAAGAAUUGAUCCAGAAAGAACUGUUCAGGAAGAAGGAGAAGAGUCUGAGUAUAUAGAAAUGGAAAAAACACAUAAGGAAGAUGAAAGAGCACAAUCUGAUACAACAGAAUGGGCUGUUUCUGUCCUUUAUGAACCCAUGAAUUCUUUUGCUGUGAAGCCAAGUGAACAGAAUGGCAAUGACAUCUACACAUAUAUCUGCUCAGACACAUUACCAUAAUUGAAUCUAGAGCCAUCAGCCAUGGAGCCCAUGACUAGUACUGCCAAGGAUGUUUCAUCUCCAGUGGUGCUCUAGAAACUCCUAAAACUCCCAAAAAGUUCCUCAACAGAGAAGAACCCUGGAUCUCAUACCCAGAUGGAAUAAUUUCUCUUCAGCACACACCAAUGUGACCCAAUCCACCACUAAGACAAGAUAUGAGAAAACUAGUGUCAGAAGAAACGAAGAGUUGAAGUCCUAGGACAUCAUCUACUAAGCCUAAACCUUUCCAUUUUGCAUUUAGGAAAACUGAGGUUCAGAGAAAGAAAAUGACUUCCUUCACUUACCAUGGAUUCAAGAUCAGGACACAAGUCACCUUUCAAAAACCAUGAAUUCUGUCUUGAAUAUAUGCUAGAUUUUGGGCUUCCCCUAGUAGACUAGAACAUCUGGUACCUCUCAGGAAUGGUCAGAACCUACAGCUACCUCACCUUUGGCUGGGCUGGAGGUCCAGACGAAGCCAUGGAUAGGGACUGAACAUGUGAUUUCAUUGGUACAGGGAAACUCCAGGUGAGAAAACUCCUAAUGCAAGUGGUCAUCUUCUCUGAAACCUUAUCUCAGUGAGUUGCCUAAAAGGAGCACUGAGUCUCAUCUAGAGUCAAAUAAUAAGUAUGUGUCAGAGGCAGAAAUCAGAUUUUCUUGGUUCCAAAGUCAACUGUGCUAUGGAUAUUCCUCAUUAAAUGUUGCUACCUGGACACCUGCCUCCUUGGUUGAUUCUUGAUUAUGCUUUAGUUUAGUUGUUUGUUUGUUUUUAAACCCUACCUUCUGUCUUAAAACCAAGGCAGAAGACAUUGGGGAGUUGUGUGACUUGCUCAAGGUUAUACAGCUAGGAAGUGUCUAAAGCCAGCCAUAUUGGAACUCAGAACCUCCCAUCUCUAGGGUUGGCUUUCAAUCCACUGAGCCACCCAGCUGCUCCCAACCAUGCUUUAGUUUUGUUCUCUCUGGCUAUUGAACCAUGGGUUUUAAA
ensembl:lncRNA